ACUCAAAACCAGGGGUGUCGGAUUCGUCCGGCUGAGAGGGGGCCAGCAGAGGCUUCCAACCCUUUACCUGAUCUGGAUCAUGCCAGCGUAGGGAGUAUACACCGAUGCGCA
rfam:Clostridium methylpentosum DSM 5476 Scfld2 genomic scaffold, whole genome shotgun sequence.